rnacentral:misc_RNA from 1 species
UACGGAGGGGGCUAGCGUUGUUCGGAAUUACUGGGCGUAAAGCGCACGUAGGCGGACAGGAAAGUUGGGGGUGAAAUCCCGGGGCUCAACCCCGGAACUGCCUUCAAAACUAUCUGUCUGGAGUUCGAGAGAGGUGAGUGGAAUUCCGAGUGUAGAGGUGAAAUUCGUAGAUAUAGGAAGGAACACCAGUGGCGAAGGCGGCUCACUGGCUCGAUACUGACGCUGAGGUACGAAAGUGUGGGGAGCAAACAGG